ensembl:lncRNA
GGGGAAAGCAGAGGCAGACAUUAUUAUUUAUUUCCCACAUUGUAAAACCAAAGAAGCCAUCAGAACCUUUCCUUUCUGAGGGUUGAAGGCCUCUGUGGACCCUGGUCCCAUUCCGUAACCUUGUACCCUGAAAGUAGCUUCUGACCAGGUAGAAAAGCCACACACCUCCCACUCCCUGACCCUCAAGCUUCCACCUGUUUCACCUUGAGCGCUUUCGAGGUGAAAUCUGAAACCAACCCCUAGUGGAGAGCACUCAGAGGGAGGGAUAGAAAAGAAAGAGCCGACCACUUGGAUUGGUAGGUGGGAGUUCUAACAUGUAAGGCAACUUACAUUUUUGUCUGGGGCGGCCCCAAGGCCAGCAGAUCUCUGCACUCACCUUCAGAAACUUAAAAGGUUUAUCGGGAGGUCUUAGCGGGGUUCAGCUGCAUAUACAGUGCCGAUGCACCUAAUAGCCUCCCUCUCUUAAGGCUGUAUCCUUAGAACUCCCGCUGUGGGAACAGUGGGCACAAGGUCCAUUCCAAAGACGGGAGGGCUGGAGCCUCCGAUUGCCCAGGUUCAACUCACGUGUCAAUCAACGGUCACAUCCUUUCGAUGACCUCCCCUAACAACCUCUCAUGCUGAGCAGGAUUUCCUGAGGCUCCGACACUUGCCAGGCCUCCAGUGUGGGUCAAGCAAGACCCAUUCUUUGACCAGACCCAGUGCGUCUUCCUUCUCCCUCUGCUUCCUGACCAUCAGGUGUUAGAAAUUCGAGGCUCCACAGGUGACCUGAGAGCACCGUGGACCUCUGUGUCCUCUCCUUGUCAUCCUUCUGGAUUUCACUGCUGUCCCGUGAGGCGGAAUGUCUUUGUGCCACGUGGCUUGCAAGAUCUUAGUUCUCCAACCAGGGUUCAAACUCGUACUCUCAGCAGUGAGAGCGAAGAGUCCUAACCACUGGACAGCCUCGGAAUUCCCUAAAGCUGUUCUUUUCUACUUCCCCUCAAACUCUUAUCUUGAGAUUCCAUUUGGCACAGGGCUGAGUUGUCAGCAUCAAAAUCCCCUCUCAGCUACAAGGGUCUGUGAGCCUAAUUCAGUAACCUUUAUGUUCAUCCAGCCUUUCUCUUGUUUUUCUUCUCUUUCUUUCUUUUUUGGCCACUCAGUGCAGCAUGUGGGAUCUUAGUUUCCCAUCAGGGAUCGAACCCGUGCCCCUGUUGCAGUGAAAAGGGAAAAAGAGGAAUGAGUUUUCCUGUUUCCCUUUCCUGAGAACAAAGAAUUUAAAGAGAACAGUGAGCAGGCCUGAACAUCCCUCGUUUGUUUUUUUUUACUUUAACUGCUCUUAACUCUGCAUGUCUGUAACUAAAUUUGCUUUUCUGUUCGCUGACUUCGCAGGAGCCACGCUUCACACUUAUUUCCUUUGACUCCAUGCUAAAU